UACGUAGGGGGCUAGCGUUGUCCGGAAUCAUUGGGCGUAAAGCGCGUGUAGGCGGUUCGGUAAGUCCCGCUGUGAAAGUCGGGGCUCAACCCUCGAAAGCCGGUGGAUACUGUCGGGCUAGAGUACGGAAGAGGCGAGUGGAAUUCCUGGUGUAGCGGUGAAUGCGCAGAUAUUGGGAAGAACACCAGUGGCGAAGGCGGAGCUCGACCUGGCCCGGCUACGUCGGACGCUGACGGCGC
rnacentral:rRNA from 1 species